GUUUGAUCCUGGCUCAGAGCGAACGUUAGCGGCGGGGCUUAACACAUGCAAGUCGAGCGAGAAAGGGGCUUCGGCCCUGAGUACAGCGGCGGACGGGUGAAUAACACGUAGGUAACCUUCCUUUCAGCGGGGGACAACGGUCCGAAAGGACCGCUAAUACCGCAUACGUUCCCCGGGACCUCGGUCCUGGGGAGGAAAGGCCCCGCAAGGGCCACUGGAUGAGGGGCCUGCGUAGCAUCAGCUAGUUGGUGGGGUAAUGGCCUACCAAGGCGAAGACGCUUAGCUGGUCUGAGAGGAUGAUCAGCCACACUGGGACUGAGACACGGCCCAGACUCCUACGGGAGGCAGCAGUGGGGAAUAUUGGACAAUGGGCGCAAGCCUGAUCCAGCCACGCCGCGUGAGUGAUGAAGGCCUUCGGGUCGUAAGACUCUGUGGGGAGGGACGGAACGGAC
rnacentral:rRNA from 1 species